GGGGACGUAGUAUAACCUGGCUAGAAUAGGAGCCUCCAGAGCUUCGGAUCUGGGUUCAAAUCCCAGCGUCCCCA
rnacentral:tRNA from 1 species